GGAAUACAUCCUUCACCGAGCAUUUAUUGGGCGCCUACUAGAUGCUAGACCCUGCAGUGCGCAAGGAGCCUGGCUGGGCCCACACUGGACACAGAGGACCGAGGGGGCUGAUGGAAGACAGAAAAUGAGCAGGUGUGGAGCAUGAGAAUGACCCAGAGAAGGACAGAGUAAUGGUGGAGCGGUGGUUGCCCAAGAAGGCACAGCAUGGAGCUUCCUGAAGCUGAAAGAAGAAAGUCCCCCAGGACACACUGGAUGAAUGUGAUUUGACUCCUUGUUUGGCCAAGAAGGGCGUGACUGCUAUCAGCCUUAGUGUGAUGGCACAUUCCCAUCUGAUGAACAGGAAUCCAGUUCUGCUCUGGAUGUGGCCUGUGAGUGCUCCCAUUCCAAAGGGGAAACUCCAUGUGGUUCCCCAGGGAGUGUACAUUCUGAGUUCCCCAUACCCUGUGUAGACCAAGAGAUUUAAUUCCCAUAAGUACCCCAUGUAUUUACAAACUGUUUUGAU